CGGCACGUGUAGUUUCGAGGUUAGGUUAUUUCAACCUGCCCUUCCUCGCUGACUAUCGAUACUCCCAAAAACAUUUUUGGUUUGCACACAAAGAUAACAUAAAUACAAAUAUAUUUACCUCAUAAUCUUUCACAUUGUAUAAAUCUCCAUUAGUACUUUCAACCAAUCACAACAACAAUAUUCCCUUGGCUCUUUUGGCCAUUCACAAGAUUCAUUAUUCAAGGCACGGUGGCCGUAUUUGAUAUUUAUCACUUUUAUUUUAUCCCUCUCAUGUAUCAACAUCAUAAAUAUCAACAUAUAUAAAAUUCCGGAAAUCAC
rnacentral:lncRNA from 1 species